GACGAACGCUGGCGGCGUGCUUAACACAUGCAAGUCGAACGAUGAAGCCGGAGCUUGCUCCGGUGGAUUAGUGGCGAACGGGUGAGUAACACGUGAGCAAUCUGCCCUUGACUCUGGGAUAACUGCGGGAAACUGUAGCUAAUACCGGAUACGACACCUUGGGGCAUCCCAGGGUGUGGAAAGAAUUUCGGUCAAGGAUGAGCUCGCGGCCGAGCAGCUAGUGGGUGAGGUAAUGGCUACCAAGGCGACGACGGGUAGCCGGCCUGAGAGGGUGACCGGCCACACUGGAACUGAGACACGGUCCAGACUCCUACGGGAGGCAGCAGUGGGGAAUAUUGCACAAUGGGCGAAAGCCUGAUGCAGCAACGCCGCGUGAGGGAUGAAGGCCUUCGGGUUGUAAACCUCUUUUAGCAGGGAAGAAGCGAAAGUGACGGUACCUGCAGAAAAAGCACCGGCUAACUACGUGCCAGCCGCCGCCGUAA
rnacentral:rRNA from 1 species